UACGUAGGUGGCAAGCGUUGUCCGGAUUUACUGGGCGUAAAGGGCUUGUAGGCGGUUCGUUAAGUCUGGUGUGAAAUCUCCCGGCUCAACCGGGAGGGGUCAUCGGAUACUGGCGGACUAGAGACAGGUAGAGGAAAGCAGAAUUCCCGGUGUAGCGGUGAAAUGCGUAGAUAUCGGGAGGAAUACCAGUGGCGAAGGCGGCUUUCUGGGCCUGUUCUGACGCUGAGGAGCGAAAGCGUGGGGGAGCAAACCGG
rnacentral:rRNA from 1 species